UACAGAGGUCUCAAGCGUUGUUCGGAUUCAUUGGGCGUAAAGGGUGCGUAGGCGGCGCGGUAAGUCGGGUGUGAAAUCUUGGAGCUUAACUCCGAAACUGCAUUCGAUACUGCCGUGCUUGAGGGAUGCAGAGGAGACUGGAAUUCCCGGUGUAGCGGUGAAAUGUGUAGAGAUCGGGAGGACACCGGUGGCGAAGGCGGGUCUCUGGGCAUUUCCUGACGCUGAGGCGGCGAAAGCGUGGGGAGCAAACGGG
rnacentral:rRNA from 1 species